CCAGCAGGGAUNGCNUCAGUCACGGCGAUAGUAGCGGCUNCNUCUCAAAUNUGANAUCUGAUUUUUUCAGGGUUCGAGUNGUAAUGNGUAGAUGAUGUUUCGGGUGAGGCUCCUGUCUAAGUUCCUGGCAACAGGACGUNGUAGAGGGUGAGAAUCCCUUAUGUGACCGUCUUCCUCGAGUCAUGUGAAACUCUUUCGCCGAGUCGAGUUGUUGGUGAAUGCAGCUCAAAGUGGGUUGUAAAUGUCAUCUAAAUAUAAAUCUUGGCCAGAGACCGAUAGCGCACAAGUAGAGUGAUAGAAAGAUGAAACGCUCUUUGGAAAGAGAGUUAAGCAGUACGUGAAAUUCUUGAAAGGGAAGCGCUUUCAAUCAGACUUGCGCGCGGCCGAUCAUCCGGGGUUCUCCCCGGAGCACUCGGUCGCGCUCAGACCAGCAUCGGUUUGGGUGGUGGUAUAAAGGCCUUGGGAAUGUAGUUUCUUUCGGGGAGUGUUAUAGCCCUCGGCGCAAUGCCGCCUACCCGGACCGAGGACCGCGCUUCGGCUAGGAUGCUGGCGUAAUGGUUGUAAGCGACC
rnacentral:rRNA from 1 species